ACGAACGCUGGCGGCGUGCCUAACACAUGCAAGUCAACUUGACUGAAGGAGCAAUCUGACAGUAGAGUGGCGCAAGGGUGCGUAACGCGUAAGUAACUUGCCCCAAGGUAAGGAAUAACGUCGAGAAAUCGGCGCUAAUACCUCAUAAUGCAGCGGAUCCGCAUGGAUAUGUUGUUAAGGGUUUACCGCCUUGGGAUAGGCUUGCGUCUGAUUAGUUAGUUGGUGUGGUAACGGCACACCAAGGCUACGAUCAGUAACUGGUCUGAGAGGAUGAUCAGUCACACUGAAACUGAGACACGGUCCAGACUCCUACGGGAGGCAGCAGUGAGGAAUAUUGGGCAAUGCUCGAAAGAGUGACCCAGCAACGCCGCGUGGAGGAUGAAGGUAUUCUAUAUCGUAAACUCCUGUGAGAGCAGACGAAAGACAGAUUAUUAAUCUGGAUGACUGUAUGCUCAGAGGAAGCCCCGGCUAACUACGUG
rnacentral:rRNA from 1 species